GACGAACGCUGGCGGCGUGCUUAACACAUGCAAGUCGAACGGAAAGUCCCUGCUUUUGUGGGGUGCUCGAGUGGCGAACUGGUGAGUAACACGUGAGUAACCUGCCCUUGACUUUGGGAUAACUUCAGGUAACUGGGGCUAUUACCGGAUAGGAUCUCCUGCUGCAUGGUGGGGGUUGGAAAUUUUCGGCGGUUGGGGAUGGACUCGCGGCUUAUCAGCUUGUUGGUGGGGUAGUGGCUUACCAAGGGUUUGACGGGUAGCCGGCAUGAGAGGGUUACCGGCCACAUUGGGACUGAGAUACGGCCCAGACUGCAACGGGAGGCAGCAGUGGGGAAUAGUGCACAAUGGGAGGAAGGCUGAUGCAGCAACGCCGCGUGCGGGAUGACGGCCUACGGGUUGUAAACAGAUUUCGCCUGUGACGAAGCGUGAGUGACGGUAAUGGGUAAAGAAGCACCGGCUAACUACGUG
rnacentral:rRNA from 1 species